rnacentral:rRNA from 1 species
UACGUAGGAGGCAAGCGUUGUCCGGAGUUACUGGGCGUAAAGCGCACGCAGGCGGUCGCAUCAGUCUGGGGUGACAGUUCCCGGCUUAACCGGAAAAGGACUCUGGAAACUGUGCGACUUGAGGGCUUCAGAGGGAUGUGGAAUUCCAGGUGGAGUGGUGAAAUGCGUAGAGAUCUGGAAGAACACCAAAGGCGAAGGCAGCAUCCUGGGAAGUCCUGACGCU